AUCAGGAAGUGUGCGCUCUUCUAAGUGACUGUGUGAGUUUGUUUUUCAGGAAAAUGGCAGAAGCGAAUAUUUUAGACUUUCAGGAUCAGUUCAGCUGUUCAAUCUAUCUGGACCUAAUCAAGGAUCCAGUAGCUCUUCUUUGCGGACACAGUUUCUGUAUGGUGCGUAUUAAUGGCUGCUGGGAUCAGGAAGAUCAGAAGGGAGUCUAUAGCUGUCCUGAACAGCGAGGGAAAGUUAAUGAGUGUUACUCUGCACUUUUGGGUGAUAAUGAAGAGGCUGGAACCUGUUCUGUUUUGUCUGAUCGUCGUGUUACUGUGUUACUGGCAUCCUGUUCAUCAUGGCUACCGCUCAGAGCAGAAUCAGCUCGACCUACAGAAUCAGCCGCAGACUGCAUCAGACGUCCCAAAUCGGCAGGACGAGCCUGAGGAGAACAGUGGGAAUGACAAGGACACCCUUCAGGAUCUUCUUGCUGUUUAUACUGUAGAACAUCAAACACAGACCGAUGCAACAGAUGAACCACAGAUUCAGGAAACCACACUGCAAGACAAUAUUGUUAAGGAUGUUCAGGUGGACAAGGCCCCAGUGGAGGCAGCGGUACUCGAGCAUGAUCCAGAGUCUUCCGUUCGCCCUGAGGAUGAUGACGAUGAUGCUGGCUCUCAGAAUUCACACGUUUCCCCUCUUCCUGUUGCAUCUGUAACUGAAAGUCAGACUCCUGUCUCUGAGGACCUGUCAUCCACUGCUACAGUCUCACCUGCACCAAGUGCAUGCAGUCUUCCCAUGGUUUUGGAGAACAGCAGCACACCUGGAACAGGAAAGGGUACAAAGGCGAGUUUAGGCUGGGCAAGUCAGGGAACCAAUGCCUCCAGCAUGCUGAAAGAACAGGGUGUUCCGGUAUCAACAGAAACGGAUCCAUCUCUUCCCAGCAAAGAUGCAGAAGACAUUCCUACGUUUGACAAGUGGAAGAAGAUAAUGAUGGAGGUGGAGAAUGAAAAAAGUCAAACCACACACACGUCCUGUAAUGGGGGUUCUAGUGCUGUUAAAGUGCAGAAAACCACAAACUAUGCCUCGGUGAAAUGUGGUGCAAAGAUCCUGGCUUCUAAUCCUGAAGCAAAGAGCACUUCUGCCAUCCUGAUGGAGAAUGUAGACGUUUACAUGCUGAGUCCCUGCAGCAAUAAAAUAUGGUUUGUCAUUGAGUUGUGUCAGCCCAUUCAGGUGAAGCAGCUGGACACUGCCAAUUUCGAGCUCUUCUCCUCGAACCCCAAAGACUUUCUAGUCUCAAUCAGUGACAGAUAUCCAACCAACAAAUGGGCCAAGCUUGGGACCUUUCAUGCCCGGAAUGAGCGCACGGUCCAGAGUUUUCCACUGGAUGAACAUUUAUAUGCUAAAUAUGUCAAGGUGGAGCUGUUGUCACACUUUGGGUCGGAGUACUUCUGUCCCCUCAGCUUGCUCAGGGUUUUUGGCACAAGUAUGAUGGAAGAGUAUGAACUGAAUAACUCCCAGGAUGAGGACGAUGAUUAUCCUCCUGGAUAUGUUCCAUCAGACGACAGGUCUUCAAAUACUCUGAUUGGGUCUGCCAAAGAUGUUAUUCUUAACAUGGUGAAUAACAUUGCUGCUAAUGUGUUGGGUGGAAAUCCAGAAGAUGGAGCUCAGAGUGGAGGCAAUUAUUCCUCCCUGGAUUUAAAUUUGACUGAGACAUCAGGAACUCCAGUUCCGACAGUUUCCUCAACCUCAUCCAAGAUUAUGAUGGAGAGUUUGGAAGUGGACCAACAUGAAUUGAACAAAGUCACAGAGACCCCUUCAGUGACUCAAAGGAGAGACACGGGUCCCACAGCUCCUUUUUUUUUUUUUUUACUUUUUUUUUUUUUACUUUUUUUUUACUCACCAGAGCUUUUUUAUUUUAUUUUAUUUAUUUUUCUAUUUUUUUUUCCUGUGUUUUUGUGUAGUUUGAUGUUUGUUUGAGUGUUUUGUCCGCCAGUUGUGGUGUAGCUCCGGACCCAGUUUUGGGCAUCGGUUCCCUCCAGGCCUUGGUUCGCCGUGGGCGAUGCCUGCGCUCCCAGCUAUGGACUGCAGUGAGCUCGCUGCUCAUUUUACAUCGUGGUUGUCCAGCGCUCUGCGCUUUAACGCUUGGCGUGAUGUUCCGAGCGAUGUUGCUCGGUGAUGUCGCAGCGGCUUUGCAGGCGAUUUGGGACAUACCAGCGCUCUGUGUGGCGGAGCUUCUUUGCUCGCUUUGUGGAUCCAUGGCGUGGUGUUCGAGCGAUGUUGCUGACGGCGUCACGGCGGCGUUGCUGGAGAUGUGGGACUUGUUUCGUGCGCCUUUUGGUGGGACUGUGGCUGCUACACCACGGGAAUUACAUCCUGACCCCUACUUGGUGGACUUUUUAUUAUUCAUUUAUUUAUUUUUUAUUAUUUUUUAUUUAUUUAGUUUUUCUUUCCUUGUCUAUAAUUAUCCGUUGUUUGUGUGUGUGUAUAUGUGUGUAUGUUUGAACCUCCUGUAAAGCGUCUUUGAGUACCAUGAAAAGCGCUAUACAAAACAGAUGUAUUAUUAUUAUUUAUUAUUAUUAUUUUUUUUUCACAAUGACAACAUUGAGGAAAACAGAAGGGAGAAAAAAAACCUUGAGGUCACAAAGAAAAUGCAUAUCACGGUCAGUACAUGACUGAUUAACCUAUGUUGUUGGUUCUGUUAUUCAUGUAAAUGGACCAUUUCCCCCACCUUCUCUCUCCAAUUUCUUUUUGGAGCCGUAGGGAAUAGGUCAUCUGCUCAAGGAGGUGUAAAUGUUUAACAAUGCCAACAAAUGUGCCCACAGUAGGGGUGUCUUUCUGAAGCCAGUAUUUAGUAAUUGCCUUCUUCCCUGCAGCCACCAGAAUUUUUAGGAGAUACUCAUCAUCUUUGUCCAAUCCCUCAGGAAAAUUGCCUAAAUAAAGAUAAAUGAAUGUUGCAUCCACACUAAAACCCAAAAUCUUAUCAAUGACUUCUGUCACCUCCCUCCAGUAAGUCUGGAUGGGGGGGCACAACCAAAAUAUAUGAGCAUGGUCCACCAUGUUUUCUCCACAUUCUCUCCAGCAUCCCAGCUGAGUGUCUGUUUGUUUGCCUUUUUGCUUAGGAGUUAUAAAGAAGCGAAUCAGAUUCUUCCAGCAAAAGUCUCUCCACCCCAAUGAGUUAGUAGUAGUCGACUGUGUUUUCCAAGCAUUCAUCCAUAUGUCCUUUGUUAUUACAAUGUCCAGUUCUUUUUCCCAACGUUGCUUCACGUAUUCUGUGGAGUCCUUCUUAAGGGAUGUGACAGCACAGUACAGUUUACUUAUCAGUCCUUUACUGCUCCUGCAGUUGUAUGCAUCAAUAAACAACUGAACAACCUAAGACCAUUCUUUCUGGUCAGAGUCCCUAACCUCUUUACAGAAAUAAUCAGAGAUUUGCAAGUACCUGUAAAAAUCCUGUCUCCUCAACCCAUAGACCUUACAUAAAUGUUCAAAACUAUAGAGUGUUCUGUCUUUAACUAUUGUACAUAGAGAUGUGAUACCAUGAUAAACCCAUUGUUUGUAUCUGAAAUCAUACAGUGAUGGCUUAUAGUCAGGGUCAUAAGCAGGCCAACUGAGUAGUUUUACCUCCCUCUGGAGCUGAUGGCGUUGAACAAUUUCAAACCAUAUCUUCAAUGAUAAGUUCACCCAGUCACUCUCUGUCUGUGGUCUUGCCUUAUCCCUGUCAGUACAACCUAUUAAUGAUUGUAAUGGGACAUCUGUUAAAGAUGUCUCUGUGGCAGCGGGGGCAUGGUCAAGCGCCGGUCUGUGACAGGAGGGCGGAUUCAGGGAAGGUGAGUGGCAGAAUCACUACACCUGACUGCAAUUAACCUGUGUUUGUGUGUGUCUUCCCAGUGACCGCGCCCUAUUUAGGGAGGGAGAGCAGGGAGGCUCUUCCCCGGAUGAGACGCUAGUCUGUGUGUGUGUCUCUAUUUUGGGAAAAACACUGUUAAACUGAAAAGUGUGGCAAUAAAGCCGAUAUAUAAACCUGAUCUCUGUCCUGCCGUCCUCUGUGCUCCACCCACUCACAUCGAACUGCCACAGUGGUGCUGAAACCCGGAAGAAUUGUGGAGCACCAGCCGAUCAGCCCCAUGGAGUCCUCCCCGUUCGCCGACCUGGUCCAUGCCCUCGCCACGGCCCAGCAAAGCCAACACCAGGUGCUCGUCACCCUCCGAAAGGAACAAGAAUGACGCUUCAAGGCCCUGGUGCUGGCCCAGCAAGAAGACCAAGAGGCGUUCCGGCACCUCCUCGCGUCGGCGGGGUCCACCAGCACUCCCACCGCGGGCCCGUCUCCCCUCACCGUAACCAAGAUGGGUCCGCAGGACGACCCCGAGGCUUUUAUCACGCUCUUCGAGCAAGUCGCAGAAGCCUCGGGGUGGCCGAUGGAGAAGCACGCGGCGCGCCUCCUCCCCCUCCUAAUGGGAGAGGCACAGCUGGCCGCGCUACAGUUCCCCGCCGACCGCCGGCUGGCCUACGCGGACCUCCGCUGGGCCGUCCUCCAGUGCAUGGGGUGCACCCCAGAGCAGCAGCACCAGCGCUUCCGCGCUCUGCGCUUGGAGGAAGUCAGCCAGCCGUUCGUGUUUGGCCAGCAGCUCCGGGAUGCCUGCUGGCGGUGGUUGAGGGCCGACAACCGCGAUGCUGAGGGGAUCAUCGACCAGGUGGUGCUGGAGCAAUUCAUCGCUCGCUUGCCAGCAGGAACCGCGGAGUGGGUCCAGUGCCAACGCCCGGCGUCGCUGGAUCAGGCAGUCGAGCUGGCGGAGGACCAUUUGGCGGCUGUUCCAGCGGCAGGACAGCAGACGACGUCUUCUCUUUUCUCCUCUUCUCUCUAUCUCUCUCUCUCUCUCUCUCUCCCCCUCCUCCUGUGUACCGUCCUCACCCCAUUCCCCCAUUGCGGAGGCGGGGGCCGGCACCACCCCAGCCGGCCCGCUGCACCCGCGGUGCCCUCCCGUUUCUCCCUUCUGUGUCUGUCUCUCCCCCCCUUCAGGUGAGUGAGCCCCAGAACACCGGUGCAGAGAGGAAGCCCGGGCCGGUUUGCUGGCGCUGCGGGGAACUGGGCCACCUCCAACAGCAGUGCAUGGCCAUGGAAGUGGGCACGGUGGUUCGGAUCCCCGACGUGCCAGAAGCCGCCCUCGAUCGGGCUGGAGCGUAUCACGUACCGAGGAGCUACAUUAUCUAAAGUAUGGUGGAAUGUUGACUCUAAACAUUCAGUUGCCUGAUCAAGUUCCGCAGGGGCCGACAGUGACCCAAUCAAAGCCGACAGCUCUGGGAGACCAUCCAUAAAGCUCUGUGCAGUAGUUGACGUGAAAGAUCAGAAACAGACGGAGUCUUUACAGGUACUGCAAAGGCAGCUGGAGAAUGUGACUCAGCUUCUUGUUAACCUGUCGCUACAAGUGAGCCAGCUACAAAGAGAGGUCUCCGCGAGUAGAUCUCGUGAAAGGGGGAGGAAAUCCCUGUGAAACAGCAGGCGAUGGUCAGGAUGUAGGGCCCCCCUGGUGGUCAAGGCAAACACACAAAACGCACCGCUCAUGUGAGCUAAAGUCUUCGCCACCAUCUCUCAGACACGGCCCUCACAAGGUGACCCAAUCCCAACCAAGCCCUGCAACAUAAACUUGGUCAGCUUCACACAAAUCACGACCCUGCCGUCGUUGGACCCCACAAAACAUGCACAAACCCGUUGCGACGAGAUUAGUGCAGACACCGAUCAACCAAGCGCCACGGAAGACCAAAAUUCUGAUGAACUUCAGUUCAUGCCUUUGUACACCGAGUCUGGUGUCGAAACACCCGACAUCAUGACUCCCCCUAGUGGCCACAACUCUUUGAAAAACCUCCCUCUAUCCAUUGACUCGUCUACAGGCACCCAUUUCCCUGCUGGUGUAAUGGCUGCGCUGUGGAACAUGUUAGGCGUUCAGGCGAAAUUACAUAUUGUGUACCACCCUCAAUCCUCUGGUCAGGUUGAACGAGCCAUUCAAACCAUUGUGAGCAUGCUGCAGAAGUAUGUCACCCACCAUGGUAAAGAUUGGGAUGUGAAACUUCCCUUGGUGUUAAGGGCCAUUAGGUCCACCCCUCAUCACACCACUGGAGUCACACCCUCUGGGAUGAUGACUGGGCAAGAGAUGGUUCUCCCCCCGCAUCUCCUGUACAGACCAGAGGACAUGAGUGUCACAAUUGCAUAUACUGCACAUCAAUAUGUCACCGACCUACAACACCACCUACAGUCAACCUUUGCAUGUGCCCAAAAGAAUCUCGAUUCGAGCGUAAAAGGACAAAAGGCCUACUACGCCCGAAUCUCAGAGAAGUUCCUACCACCCUGGUCGAGACCUUUCGAUCGUGGGAAAACUGUCCCCCGUCGCGUAUCGCAUUAGGACAUCCAGGCCUAGUCAAACUCCAUGGCAAUCAAAUCAAGCCUUUUGAACAGUCCUCACUCCAAAAAAAGGGGGGAGAUGAUAGUUAGGCCCAUCCUGUACACCUAGCUUGUACACCUCACUCACCCAUAAGCGUACACUGACAUUCCCAGUCACAUUCACCAACGCAAUACCUCUCCAGAAGAUUAGAUUUACCAACCCAAACACUAAUACUUCCUUCCUUCUCUUCUCUUAUUUUAUGCAUAGGAAAUUAAACACUACAUGUUUCAUGUUAAUGUUUAAUUUGUUUUUAUUAGAUGUGGUUUUGACCUAGUUAGAUAGAGUGAUUAUAUGCCCAAAAUGCCUCUGCCUCCAACUGUCUUACUGGAACUCAUGAGUUUACACAGUCUUCACAGGACACCAUGAACUGUACAGAGCAAGGCUGCCUCAAGGACUAUGGACAUGUGGACUGUACGGUACUGUGCUCUCAGUGCUACAACUCCAUCAUACCCCUGAGACCAAAAGGGGGAUCGUAGGUACAACACACAGUCCCUUUAAGAAACUACAUUUCCCAUCAGCCAACUUCCGCGUUGACCCACGUCACACCUGGGCGGCAUCACCUAUGUCACAUCCUCCAGGAAGCCAUAAGUAACCCGGAAACUUCCAACUCGGUCUCUUUUGGCGCCGUGAAUUCAACACGGACACAAGGAGGACUUCUCUCUCUCUCUUUUCUGUCUGGACCAGCUGUCUGCAGACACAGAGAUCCGCUCCGCCGAGCAAACCCAGAUAAAGAUGUCUUUCUAACAAGAAUCAGAGUUUUGUGCUUUUCUUUUACUUACCUUUGGCCACGGUAGACUCUAGAAUCGCGCGAUCUUGACUCAGAUUGAAUAUAACCGGUUUCAUUUGUUCCUUAUAAGUAUGUACGACUGCAGCCCAAGCAGUUAAUUUAAAGUUAGAAGCGACUGGAUCCUUCUAAUUAAAGCGCUGUGCACAUUGUCUGAUCAUAGACUUUCUUCUCAUCACGAGCGACCACGCGUCGGACCAAGAAAUUCUCUGUGCUUCACGGAGGCCUUCACAACGGUGAAACUCCAAAAGUCUCGGAACAUCUCAUAAUCUCGCAUAGAGGCAAGAUACUGAAGUAAGAGACUGGCAUUUGGGCAGAAAAACUAGUCUUAGGAAUUAGCUUUUUGAAGUAGUGUGAAUUUAAACUCAGGAACGGUUUAAUUGUGUACACUGUAAAAACUUAGGGUGCUGAAUUAAUUAUUGUUCUACUUUUGUCCUCUCAAUUGUUUAAUAGAUAGGCUUUGCAUGCUCUUUUCCUUUCUAACACUUUAAUUUCAUUAUUUACACAUAUUUUGACCUCAUCAAGAUUUCAGUGAAUUUGGUAAUGUUAUAAGCUAGUGGGUUAGCUGCUACAGCUAAUUCUUUUGUCUCAUUAGCAUCUAGGGCUAAUUGUAUUGUCUCAAGGGACCACGAGGCCUCACCACGUGGUCACACUCACCCAGAGUUAAUUCUUUUGUUUAGGCCACAGGCCUCACACACACAAACACAUCUUAAUUAGCAACCAAAGCUAACUCUCUUGUUUUACUUAGAAACACAUGGUCACAAGGCCUCACACACACAAACACAUCUUAAUUAGCAACCAAAGCUAACUCUCUUGUUUUACUUAGAAACACGUGGUCACAAGGCCUCACACACACAAACACACCUCAAUUAGCAACCAAAGCUAACUCUCUUGUUUUACUUAGAAACACGUGGUCACAAGGCCUCACACACACAAACACACCUCAAUUAGCAACCAAAGCUAACUCUCUUGUUUUACUUAGAAACACAUGGUCACAAGGCCUCACACACACAAACACAUACAUAUACACACACACACACACACACACACACACACACACACCUCAUUGUUUGCUGAAGA